UGCGUAGGUGGUCAUAUUAGUCUUCUGUUAAAGACUCGGGCUCAACCCGAGGAGUGCGGAGGAAAUGGUAUGACUAGAGGGUAUGAGAGGUGUGCGGAACUCAUGGUGUAGGGGUGAAAUCCGUUGAUAUCAUGGGGAACACCAAAGGCGAAGGCAGCACACUGGCAUAUUCCUGACACUGAGGCACGAAAGCGUGGGUAGCGAACG
rnacentral:rRNA from 1 species